UACAGAGGUCUCAAGCGUUGUUCGGAUUCAUUGGGCGUAAAGGGUGCGUAGGCGGCGGCGUAAGUCGAGUGUGAAAUCUCGGGGCUCAACCCCGAAAUUGCACUCGAUACUGCGUCGCUAGAGGACUGUAGAGGAGAUCGGAAUUCACGGUGUAGCAGUGAAAUGCGUAGAUAUCGUGAGGAAGACCAGUUGCGAAAGCGGAUCUCUGGGCAGUUACUGACGCUGAGGCGCGAAGGCGAGGGGAGCAAACGGG
rnacentral:rRNA from 1 species